AGUUACAGCUGCUUUGGCGUGCAUGUUCCCCAGCCCAGCUCUUUGCAGAUGAAGGAAAGUUAUGAUCUUUUGCUGUAACACUGUCAAGCAAAUUGGCUAAGGCAGACAGAAUUUGAAGUUUGGAUUCCCAUCACUUAAAGUAUCUUGAGGACACUGACAUCUGAAAACUCCCCAUCCCUGGGCAAGCAGGCUUCCUCUUAGUCUCCUCGUCCACUGAUUUCACUCCUGCUUCCAUGGUGGUAAAUGUGGAUACUAGUCCUCUGCAUCACAGAAAUACUGCAAGGUACUCAGAUUUUAAGGGGCUCAGAGCCACUCAAACAUUAGUGGCAUUUACCCCCCUAGUCACCAUCCCAGCUCGUUUGGCCUCUCUCACAUGUGGACUCCCCUGCCUUAUUUUAACCUGGAAGAUUCAGAAAGCCACUGUGAUCUCUAGGAGGGAGAAUUCCUCUCACUUUAUCCCUGGAGAGUCAGUCACUGAGUGACAUGUCAAACACUGUAUUGAAUAAAAUCGGACAGGCAAGACAAUGGCAUCAUUUUUGGUGAAUGGUAGAGCCCUCAUGCAGGUGUGCUAAGGUCAGAAACAUUGAGUACCACUUUCCCAGUAUUCCCAUGCAGAAAGCACUCAUGAUGCAGGUAUCUGCAUUUUCUGAGUCUAAACCGACCCUAAAAUAGCUUGGGGCAACACUGCAAAACCCCAAAGGAGUUAUCUGGAGCCCCCCAUUGUCAGCACUAAAAGAGGAAGAACUGAGGAAGGACAGAACACAGGUACAGGUGUAGUGAGUGCAUUGCUAGGUAUAUUGCUCCUCUCCUAGUUUACUUCCCCCACUGCUGUCUCAUAGAACGCUUUAUCUUUUAUGCUGAAGGAAAUAUGACACUGUUGAUCAGCACUGCUUCUGGCAUUGUAAUAAAACGAAAUGAGAUCAAACAUACUCGGCCGUUACUUGAGCGAGUCAGACUUGCUGACCUUCACUGUGGCUGUUAAUGUGCUGAAGUCUGUCUUCCAGCUGUAAAAACUGUCUCUCCUUUCUGAAGUGAGAACAAGGAAAGGAAACAAAAAAAAGGCAGAAGGAAAAGAAUUUUACACUUACAACAUUC